GCAGUUCAGUUGGUCAGAGCGUGGUGGUGAUAAUGCCGAGGUCGUGAGUUCAAUCCCCAUACAGGCCAGCUGCA